UUAAUUGGGCGUUAAGUUGCAGGGUAUAGACCCGAAACCCGGUGAUCUAGCCAUGGGCAGGUUGAAGGUUGGGUAACACUAACUGGAGGACCGAACCGACUAAUGUUGAAAAAUUAGCGGAUGACCUGUGGCUGGGGGUGAAAGGCCAAUCAAACCGGGAGAUAGCUGGUUCUCCCCGAAAGCUAUUUAGGUAGCGCCUCGUGAAUUCAUCUCCGGGGGUAGAGCACUGUUUCGGCUAGGGGGCCAUCCCGGCUUACCAACCCGAUGCAAACUGCGAAUACCGGAGAAUGUUAUCACGGGAGACACACGGCGGGUGCUAACGUCCGUCGUGAAGAGGGAAACAACCCAGACCGCCAGCUAAGGUCCCAAAGUCAUGGUUAAGUGGGAAACGAUGUGGGAAGGCCCAGACAGCCAGGAUGUUGGCUUAGAAGCAGCCAUCAUUUAAAGAAAGCGUAAUAGCUCACUGGUCGAGUCGGCCUGCGCGGAAGAUGUAACGGGGCUAAACCAUGCACCGAAGCUGCGGCAGCGACACUGUGUGUUGUUGGGUAGGGGAGCGUUCUGUAAGCCUGUGAAGGUGUGUCGUGAGGCAUGCUGGAGGUAUCAGAAGUGCGAAUGCUGACAUAAGUAACGAUAAAGCGGGUGAAAAGCCCGCUCGCCGGAAGACCAAGGGUUCCUGUCCAACGUUAAUCGGGGCAGGGUGAGUCGACCCCUAAGGCGAGGCCGAAAGGCGUAGUCGAUGGGAAACGGGUUAAUAUUCCCGUACUUGGUGUUACUGCGAAGGGGGGACGGAGAAGGCUAUGUUGGCCGGGCGACGGUUGUCCCGGUUUAAGCGUGUAGGUGUGUGUUCCAGGUAAAUCCGGUUCACUUUAACACUGAGGCGUGACGACGAGGCACUACGGUGCUGAAGCAACAAAUGCCCUGCUUCCAGGAAAAGCCUCUAAGCAUCAGGUAACAUCAAAUCGUACCCCAAACCGACACAGGUGGUCAGGUAGAGAAUACCAAGGCGCUUGAGAGAACUCGGGUGAAGGAACUAGGCAAAAUGGUGCCGUAACUUCGGGAGAAGGCACGCUGACACGUAGGUGAAGUGAUUUACUCAUGGAGCUGAAGUCAGUCGAAGAUACCAGCUGGCUGCAACUGUUUAUUAAAAACACAGCACUGUGCAAACACGAAAGUGGACGUAUACGGUGUGACGCCUGCCCGGUGCCGGAAGGUUAAUUGAUGGGGUCAGCGCAAGCGAAGCUCCUGAUCGAAGCCCCGGUAAACGGCGGCCGUAACUAUAACGGUCCUAAGGUAGCGAAAUUCCUUGUCGGGUAAGUUCCGACCUGCACGAAUGGCGUAAUGAUGGCCAGGCUGUCUCCACCCGAGACUCAGUGAAAUUGAACUCGCUGUGAAGAUGCAGUGUACCCGCGGCAAGACGGAAAGACCCCGUGAACCUUUACUAUAGCUUGACACUGAACAUUGAGCCUUGAUGUGUAGGAUAGGUGGGAGGCUUUGAAGUGUGGACGCCAGUCUGCAUGGAGCCGACCUUGAAAUACCACCCUUUAAUGUUUGAUGUUCUAACGUGGACCCGUUACCCGGGUUGCGGACAGUGUCUGGUGGGUAGUUUGACUGGGGCGGUCUCCUCCUAAAGAGUAACGGAGGAGCACGAAGGUUGGCUAAUCCUGGUCGGACAUCAGGAGGUUAGUGCAAUGGCAUAAGCCAGCUUGACUGCGAGCGUGACGGCGCGAGCAGGUGCGAAAGCAGGUCAUAGUGAUCCGGUGGUUCUGAAUGGAAGGGCCAUCGCUCAACGGAUAAAAGGUACUCCGGGGAUAACAGGCUGAUACCGCCCAAGAGUUCAUAUCGACGGCGGUGUUUGGCACCUCGAUGUCGGCUCAUCACAUCCUGGGGCUGAAGUAGGUCCCAAGGGUAUGGCUGUUCGCCAUUUAAAGUGGUACGCGAGCUGGGUUUAGAACGUCGUGAGACAGUUCGGUCCCUAUCUGCCGUGGGCGCUGGAGAACUGAGGGGGGCUGCUCCUAGUACGAGAGGACCGGAGUGGACGCAUCACUGGUGUUCGGGUUGUCAUGCCAAUGGCACUGCCCGGUAGCUAAAUGCGGAAGAGAUAAGUGCUGAAAGCAUCUAAGCACGAAACUUGCCCCGA
rnacentral:rRNA from 1 species